rnacentral:lncRNA from 1 species
CAGCAAUAAAGGAGAAAAUUAAGAAUUAUUAAUUUUAUUUCUUCGAACUUCCUGACUUAUGUGACGUAGUUUAAGUCUUUAAGCAUGCCGGGAGUGGAAAUAAUCUCAUUUUAAAUCUUAAUCGUUAAUCAUCUUAUAACGCUAUUUAAAGCGCAUAGACGACGUUUGGUGUAGCUAUUAACCAACUAAUAAUUAAGAUGGAACAGCGCUCAGCUUGAAAGUAGAAUGUACGAUUUAUAUUUUAAUAUUUUCUGAAAUGAUUAUAGUGAUACAAGUAAAUCAUAUAAAAUAUUUUUUUUAUGAUUUUUUUUUUCCGACGGAUAUUUUGAACUAACAUGUAUAACUGGUAGUGUUUUAAAAAUGCAUGUUUGUACUUUUUACCUUUUACGUCAGGCUAGUAAAUAUGUGCUGCUAGUACAUUUGUAGUGUGCAAAUACGGCCCCGCAAAUACAAUGUGUAUUGUACUUUGACACAUAGUGACUACCUGUUGAAUGCGUGGUUAAAUUCAAGUUAAUUAAAAGAUUAGCAUUUUGUAUCUUUUGAUCUUUACUCAGUGAAUUUAAGCCGUCACGGUUCACUUUUCUAGGUGUGAACAACAUUUCGUAUGAAUGAUAAACGGGGGAAUCUUAAUAUUUUCCAUGAGCUCAGUUUAAUUAAAUAUAUUAUUGACGC